AACGAACGCUGGCGGCAGGCCUAACACAUGCAAGUCGAACGCUCCAGCAAUGGAGAGUGGCAGACGGGUGAGUAACACGUGGGAACCUUCCCUUUGGUUCGGAAUAGCCCAGGGAAACUUGGGGUAAUACCGGAUAAGCCCUUACGGGGAAAGAUUUAUCGCCGAAGGAUGGGCCCGCGUCGGAUUAGCUAGUUGGUGGGGUAACGGCCUACCAAGGCGACGAUCCGUAGCUGGUCUGAGAGGAUGAUCAGCCACACUGGGACUGAGACACGGCCCAGACUCCUACGGGAGGCAGCAGAGGGGAAUAUUGGACAAUGGGCGCAAGCCUGAUCCAGCCAUGCCGCGUGAGUGACGAAGGUCUUCGGAUUGUAAAGCUCUUUUGGCGGGGACGAUAAUGACGGUACCCGCAGAAUAAGCCCCGGCUAACUUCGUGCCAGCCGCCGCAGUAAAAC
rnacentral:rRNA from 1 species